rnacentral:rRNA from 1 species
ACAGGCCUACGGGAGGUAGCAGUGGGGAAUAUUGCACAAUGGGGGAAACCCUGAUGCAGCGACGCCGCGUGAGUGAAGAAGUAUCUCGGUAUGUAAAGCUCUAUCAGCAGGAAAGAUAAUGACGGUACCUGACUAAGAAGCCCCGGCUAACUACGUGCCAGCAGCCGCGGUAAUACGUAGGGGGCAAGCGUUAUCCGGAUUUACUGGGCGUAAAGGGAGCGUAGACGGCAGCGCAAGUCUGGAGUG